UAUUUUUGGAGAAUUAUCCCGUUAUUUUAUUUGGAGUCACUUACACUUUAUUUGUUUGGUGUGCCUUACAACACUAAUCUUCUGUUGUUUUUGGAGGAGCAGGUGUCUUAUUUUGGGAGAAUUAUCCCGUUAUUUUAUUUGGAAUCACUUACACUUUAUUUGUUUGGUGUGCCUUACAACACUAAUCUUCUGUUGUUUUUGGAGGAGCAGAAAAAAUGUCGUAUGCUCCUGCAGUAAGUUGACACACCGUUUUUAAUUAAAAUAUUAUGUU